rnacentral:rRNA from 1 species
UACAGAGGGGGCAAGCGUUAUUCGGAAUUACUGGGCGUAAAGCGCACGUAGGCGGCUUUGUAAGUAAGAGGUGAAAGCCCAGAGCUCAACUCUGGAAUUGCCUUUUAGACUGCAUCGCUUGAAUCAUGGAGAGGUCAGUGGAAUUCCGAGUGUAGAGGUGAAAUUCGUAGAUAUUCGGAAGAACACCAGUUGGCGAAGGCGGCUGACUGGACAUGUAUUGACGCUGAGGUGCGAAAGCGUGGGGAGCAAACAGGAUAG